AUAUUUAUUUUGAUGUUAAUUUUUAUCAGCUCAUGCAGAUCAUUGAGGGAUUAAUUACGCCGUCAUGCACGGAUUUACAAAGGUGUCAGCGAAAGACAUGUAAGCUCCUUUCUGAACUAUUAAUCACUAAUGGUGCUCCCAACUCUAAAUUAUACUUUGGAGCUUACAUGCUUACUUCUAUCGGUUAUGACAUUUCAGUCAGGUUCCAUCCUAAUGUCUCCAAAUGAUAUAAUAUUUGUUCAGAAAAAAUAAUAUCAUACAUUUGUGGUGGUCUCCUUGGUAUUCGGUGCAUUGUAUUUUUUUCUUUAGUAGCGCCUAGCCACCUGCAGAUUAGAUCUCAACAUAGCAGAACCUUACGCCGUCCUACAUCCCAUACAUUCGUAGUUAGUAGUAUCAUGUCUUGCAUUUGGCUGCAGGUAAUGCUGCUCCCAAAAUUCUGAACUUUUGCUGAAGCACCACCAAUGAUGGAAUUGGGGUCUGCUUUUCCCUACGGCUGCAUGUCAUGAUUCACAUUAUAAAUUAGCAAUGAUUGUAUCACUGCGUUUAGUUGCUGUAAUUAAAGCGCAUAGCAAGUGGCUUUGCUAGAUUGUGCCUGUAGCCUUGGGACAAUUAGUACCAGAUGGUGGUUCACAGUCCUUUUCACCCUUGCAAUUUGUCUUUGCCUCUGGGGAGCAGAGAUACGGUUUCUUUUCUUUGUUAUACUGAGCAGAGAUACAGUUGAAGCAUAACACAUACUCCCUCCGUUUCUAAAUAUAAGUCUUUGUAGAGAUUCCAAUACGGAUGUAUGUAGACAUACUUUAGAGUGUAAUUUCAUUCAUUUUGCUCGGUGUGUAGUCCAUAUUGGAAUCUCUGAAAAGACUUAUAUUCAGGAACGGAGAGAGUAUGAUAUUUUGAUAACUUCGGUUUCAUCUGACAGAUGGAGAGGUUCGAGUAAGUAGGAUCGCCGAGGGAAGCAGAAUUCGUGGCAUAGUCAUAUGGGAUUGUAACUAGGCGCAUCAUGUGUCGUUUUCGCAUGAGAGAAAUCUGAGUUUAGGAGAACACUUUAAUUGGUACUAUGCUGCCACUGAGAUCCUUGUAUGUCACCACACCGUAUUGCUGAUCAUUUACACUUUUAACAAUGGCAGUUCAGAAGAAAACUCUGUUCUCUAUGAAGCCAGCGAAAACAGAAAUAUAGACUAUCGUGCCCUUUUCCAAUAUGUUGAUGGUGUUACCUCUUUUAUCCUGUUAAAUAUAUGCAUGCACCUCAACUCUUAUGUGGAUGUGUUAUGGCCAUGGAAGGCAUUUUUUACUUUGAACUAUUUUUUUAGAUUCGCCAUAAGUAUCUAGCUUUUGUUUAGAUAAUACAUUUUUUUGUGAAAUUUGUUUAGACAAUACCUAUCCCUACAAGUCUACAACCUCUCAGCUCAAUGUGUAGUUGUGGCUGCUACAUUCUUUGGUGGUGGUGUUCCUGCUUGAAGACGAGUGAUAACUCAUUGCCUAUUAAACCUCGAGAAGUCGAAAUGUAAUAGUUGUAUGUUCGCGAUACACCAUGCGGGAGUCACACGCGAGGAAGAAAAUGGCGCGGCAAGGCGUGCCUGCACUUCUCUUAUCUCAAUUCCUUUAGGGAAAGAUUUGUCAUUUGAGUAAUAUUUUUUCUUUGAAGUAUGAAGGAUUGGUUAUCAUUGUAUGGAGAAAUAAAUCAAUUCCUAACCAAAGGGUUCCCAUUGUAUGAUAUUCUCCCUUCUAUGAAAUUCUUGUAAACCAAAGUAGGAGUACUAGUAUUUCCAACACAACACGAAGGCUUCAAAGGGAAAUGUAAUGUUGCACCUGCUACGCACACAUAGUCGCUGUACCUUUCUCGGCAACGAACGAGGAGACGUUUUACGUUGGACAAGGCAGGAGUUUAAAGUAAC
rnacentral:lncRNA from 1 species